AGAAGUUGAAGUAUCUGAUGCCGCUGCAGGGCUUGUUAAAUUUAUUUGCAGACCUGAAGAGUUGCUUUCCUUGCGGAAAUCGAUUGAAACAAAAAACUAUAUCAUCGAAAAUAUGGAACACAUCUAUACGCCCGUGAAAUAUGUGGAGUUGCCUUCAGAGGAGCACGCGGGCUAUGAAAAGUUUCUUGCCAAGCUUCACCAGAUUUCCGGUAUAGAAGAGAUUUAUGACAAUUUGUUGGAUACAAGAGAUUAAUAAAUUUAACAUAAAAAACUAAUAUGAAAGAAAACAAUUAUAUUAUUUUCAUUUCAUUUUCAUAUUUGCAACAUCGCUAAGAUAUCUGCUUUAAUAUAGCUUAAUCCUUACAAGAUGGUUCGAUUAAGGCUAAUAUUGAUGUUGAUCGGCAGAAAACUUGGCUUUAUUCUCAUUUUCAUUUAGGCCGUAUGCAUUAUAAAAACACUCAUCAGAGUUAUCCUUUCAUCUGAAAUUCACUGAUUAAUGAUAUUAGAGAAAAAAGUCUUAAGAGUCUUCAUAGUGUUUCACUUUAUUUCGCUUAUUUUAUAUACAGUUUUUCUAUAAAAAAAAAAAUAAUAAAAAAACAAAAAAACUU